GACGAACGCUGGCGGCGUGCUUAACACAUGCAAGUCGAACGCUGAAGCUUGGUGCUUGCACUGGGUGGAUGGGUGGCGAACGGGUGAGUAAUACGUGAGUAACCUGCCUUUGACUCUGGGAUAAGCUUGGGAAACUGGGUCUAAUACCGGAUACGACAUGUCACCGCAUGGUGCUGUGUGGAAAGGGGUUUAUUGGUAUUGGAUGGGCUCGCGGCCUAUCAGCUUGUUGGUGGGGUAAUGGAUCACCAAGGCGACGACGGGUAGCCGGCCUGAGAGGGUGACCAGCCACACUGGGACUGAGACACGGCCCAGACUCGUACGGGAGGCAGCGGGGGGGAAUAUUGCACAGUGGGCCGGAGCGAGAUGUGGCGACGUCGCGUGCGGGAUGACGGCCUUCGGGUUGUAAACAUCUUUCAAAACGGAUGAGGAGAAAGUGACGGUACGUGCAGAAGAAGCGCCGGCUAACUACGUG
rnacentral:rRNA from 1 species